AGGAGGGCGAGGCCUGGGGUAGGGCCAGGAUAAGCGUCGUUGGGGCAGGUCCUGGGUAGAGUCCAGGUUGGCGGGUCCUGGGGCGGAGUCAGGAUAGGGCGAUCCUGGAAGCUGGGCUUCAGAAGCGUCCAGCGCCACCCGUCUGGGGCCCGAAAGGAGGGAGCUUUCCCUCUGUCCUCCAGCCUUUGGACUGUCUCCAAACAAGCCAUUCGUUCACCAAAUACUUAUUAAGCACCUACCAUGUGCCUGACAAGGGAGAUGUAACGCUGGGGAAACUGAGUUACAGAGCUUUUCUGCACUGAGUCAUCAGGAGCAAAUGCUAGAUCAGAUAGGGUCUCUCUCUCUGCCACCCAGGCCAGAGUGCAGUUGACGCAGGGCAGGGGAGCCCCGAAGUGGAGCAUAGUGUGUCCGGAACUGGUGGGUUCUUGGUCUCACUGACUUCAAGAAUGAAGCCGUGGACCCUCACGGUUCAAGCGAUUCUCCUGCCUCAGCCUCCAGAGUAGCUGGAACUACAGAUGCGCACCACCACGCCCAGGCUGUGCUUCUCAGUGGCUCCCACCAGAUACCUGAUGGUCCUGUCGAUUUGCUGAAUCAUCAACUUCCUAUUCUCUGCCUCUGGCCUGAAUCGAUGUCCCACGUUAUCUGGCUCUCUGUAACACAGAGUCACAAAGUCAAAGUCUUCCUUGGUGAACCAGUUCAUGACAGUAUCGAUGUUCGCACUCCGCUCUGUCUCGUUGCUGUUUGGGGGAGUCACUGAGCAGAACGAAGCGAGUUGCCUGAGAUUCUUCAAAGCCCCAGCCCUUUUGGAGGUUACAUUGUUAUUCUCAGAGCCUUUAUGAUGCAUAAUAAAGACCUAGCUUGUA
ensembl:lncRNA LINC02018 long intergenic non-protein coding RNA 2018